rnacentral:rRNA from 1 species
UACGGAGGGGGCUAGCGUUGUUCGGAAUUACUGGGCGUAAAGCGCACGUAGGCGGCUUUGUAAGUUAGAGGUGAAAGCCCGGGGCUCAACUCCGGAAUUGCCUUUAAGACUGCAUCGCUAGAAUUGUGGAGAGGUAAGUGGAAUUCCGAGUGUAGAGGUGAAAUUCGUAGAUAUUGGGAAGAACACCGGUGGCGAAGGCGGCGACCUGGUCCGAUACUGACGCUGAGGCGCGAAAGCGUGGGGAGCAAACAGG